CGGCCACGGUAUCCUAGCCGCGCGAAGGUAGCAUAAUCACUUGUUCUUUAAAUGAGGACCUGUAUCAACGGCACCACGAGGGUUAUACUGUCUCCUCUUUCAAAUCAGUGAAACUAAUCUCCCCGUGAAGAAGCGGGGAUACCCCUAUAAGACGAGAAGACCCUAUGGAGCUUCAAACUCAACUACACCCCUAAUUCCUAUACCCCCUUAGCCAUACCUGGGCCCUGUUUAGUUAGUUUUAGGUUGGGGCGACCACGGAGUAAAACAAAACCUCCACAAUGAACGGGACUACCCCCUUAUCCAAGAGCCACACCCCUAAGAAUUAGAAUACUGACAUAAAAUGAUCCAUUAUUUGAUCAACGAACCAUGUUACCCUAGGGAUAACAGCGCAAUCCAUUUCAAGAGCCCUUAUCGACAAAUGGGUUUACGACCUCGAUGUUGGAUCAGGGUCCCCCAGUGGUGCAGCAGCUACUAACGGUUCGUUUGUUCAACGAUUAAAACCCUACGUGAUCU
rnacentral:rRNA from 1 species